rnacentral:rRNA from 1 species
AUACUCCAGCGCGAGCGUGACGAGGUUAAUCCGAGUGACUCCCGCUGAGGGGGUCUUUUGUCAGCUGUAAAUAGGCAGGCGAAUAAGGGGAGGGCAAGCCUGGUGUCAGCUGCCGCGGUAAUACCAGCUCCUCGAGUGGUCGGGGCGAUUAUUGGGCCUAAAGCAUCCGUAGCCGGUUCCGUAGGUCCUCUGUUAAAUCCAACCGCUUAACGGUUGACCUGCAGAGGAUACCGCGGGACUAGGAGGCGGGAGAGGCGGACGGUACUCCGCGUGUAGGGGUAAAAUCCUUUGAUCCGCGGAAGACCACCAGUGGCGAAGGCGGUCCGCCAGAACGCGCUCGACGGUGAGGGAUGAAAGCUGGGGGAGCGAACCGGAUUAGAUACCCGGGUAGUCCCAGCCGUAAACGAUGCUAGCUAGAUGAUUCAUUCGCAAGUCGCGAAUGAAGUGUCGCAGGGAAGCCGUUAAGCUAGCCGCCUGGGGAGUACGGUCGCAAGACUGAA